GUGUGUUCACUUUUUUAACGAGGCAAUUUGUGGCAUAGAAGAGUGAAACCCAUGAACAAUCCUAGUAAUAUAUCUUUAUUAAUGCUACUGCUGAUGGUCACAAUCAGGCAUUUUUGCAAGCCAUAAUCACAAAGGGAGGAAGGGAGAGGGGAACGGAUGAGUGGGGAAAGUCGGGGAAAGAGUGGGAGAGAGAGAGAGAUGGAAUUUCCAGUUCCAUUCUAUUCCCCAAAAUAUUUGCUUCUACUUGGUCUUUGACUUAUGA